GAUGAAGAACGUAGCGAAAUGCGAUAAGUAAUGUGAAUUGCAGAAUUCAGUGAAUCAUCGAAUCUUUGAACGCACAUUGCGCCCAUUAGUAUUCUAGUGGGCAUGCCUGUUCGAGCGUCAUUUCAACCCUUAAGCCUAGCUUAGUAUUGGGAAUCGACUUUACUGUCGUUCCUCAAAUUCAACGGCGGAUUUAUAGCAAUCUCUGAACGUAGUAAUUUUUUUUCUCGUUUUUGAAAUACUAUAAACCUCAGCCGCUAAACCCCCAAUUUCUUAUGGUUGACCUCGGAUCAGGUAGGAAUACCCGCUGAACUUAAGCAUAUCAAUAAGCGGAGG
rnacentral:misc_RNA from 1 species